rnacentral:pre_miRNA from 13 species
UGACCUGAAUCAGGUAGGCAGUGUAUUGUUAGCUGGCUGCUUGGGUCAAGUCAGCAGCCACAACUACCCUGCCACUUGAGGGGGA